UGAUGAUGAUGACGGUGAUGAUGAUGGUGGUGAUAAUGAUGACGAUACAAACUCCAAUCAUCAUCAUCAUCACCAUCAUCAACAUCACCAUCAUCA
rnacentral:pre_miRNA from 1 species